rnacentral:ncRNA from 1 species
AUUAAUUAUUAUGUUUAUCUUUUUACUGAAUUUUAGUUUAUGUGUUAAGUAUGUUAUAUAAGUUUUAUGGCCGAUUAUAAGUUUGAUCCUUGCUUGUGUUUUAGUUUAUCUUAAGGUACAUGAAAAUUUAAGUUUAGUUGUAGAUAUUAAUUACCCUGAGUGGUUUAAUUAGGUAAAUUCUCAGUACAUAGGAUUAGGUUAUAUAAAGUGAUCUUUGAGCUAGUAGUCGAAUAUAAGUUCAGGCUAAAAUUGUGCCAGCAGCCGCGGUUAUACUGAUAGAGCAAUUAAAAGUGUAUCGGGGUUGGAGUAUUGACGUUUUAUUAUGAAUUUAUCUUAUUAAUUUAAAUGGUGAAGUUUGUUAUGUUAAAGUAAGUUUAGUUCAAUUUGAGGGUUUUGAUCUUUGAAAUUUAAGGUAUAAAACAGGAUUAGAUACCCUGUUAUACUUAGAUGAAACUAUUAGGACCUUUGAGUAGUAAAUAGGUAUAGGCUUUAAACUCAAAGGAUUUGGCGGUAUUCGAGUCUGGUUAGAGGAAUUUGUACGGUAAACGAUAGUCCGCGAGUAUCUGGCCUUGUCUUGUAAUAGUCAGUUUGUAUACCGCCAUUAUUAGGUAAUUUUUAGAGAAAGUUGCUAUAAUCAAGAUUAGUUGAAUAUAUUAGGUCAAGGUGCAGCUCAUGAUAAGGACGUUAUGAAUUACAUUGGUAUAAGUAGUAUAUGGAUAAGUGGCGGUAGAGUUGUUUUGAAGGUGGAUUUAAUUGUAAUAUGUGUAGAUGGUGCAUGUCUGGUAGGAGCUCUUGAAUAUGUACACAUCGCCCGUCGUUCUUGCUUUAAGGUGAGGUAAGUCGUAACAUAGUAGGUGUGUUGGAAAGGGGACCUAGAAUUAA